rnacentral:rRNA from 1 species
GUGCCAGCCGCCGCGGUAAAACGUAGGAGGCAAGCGUUAUCCGGAUUCACUGGGCGUAAAGCGCGUGUAGGUGGUUCGUUAAGUCGCUGGUGAAAGCCCCUGGCUCAACUGGGGGAGGUCUGGCGAAACUGGCGGACUUGAGGGUCCGAGAGGAAGGUGGAAUUCCCGGUGUAGCGGUGGAAUGCGUAGAGAUCGGGAGGAACACCAGUGGCGAAGGCGGCCUUCUGGCGGGCUUCUGACACUGAGACGCGAAAGCGUGGGGAGCAAACGGGAUUAGAUACCCCCGUAGUCC